UGAACGCUAGCGGCAGGCUUAACACAUGCAAGUCGAGGGGCAGCAUGAGACGGAGAUUCGUCAAAGUCUUGAUGGCGACCGGCGCAAGGGUGCGUAACGCGUGAGCAACUUGCCCGUUUCAGGGGGAUAACCGGUGGAAACGCCGACUAAUACCCCAUAGUAUCAUUUUAAGGCAUCUUUUAGUGAUUAAAGAAUUUCGGAAACGGAUAGGCUCGCGUGACAUUAGCUAGAUGGCGGGGUAACGGCCCACCAUGGCGACGAUGUCUAGGGGUUCUGAGAGGAAGGUCCCCCACACUGGAACUGAGACACGGUCCAGACUCCUACGGGAGGCAGCAGUGAGGAAUAUUGGUCAAUGGUCUGACGACUGAACCAGCCAUGCCGCGUGAAGGUGACGGCCCUAUGGGUCUUAAACUUCUUUUGUAAGGGAGCAAUAAGGUGUACGUGUACAUCGAUGAGAGUACCUUACGAAUAAGCAUCGGCUAACUCCCGUG
rnacentral:rRNA from 1 species